rnacentral:rRNA from 1 species
UCUCUCUGAAUCUGCGAACGGCUCCGCAUACCAGUUGUAAACCAUAGCGAGCAAACCGUGACGGCGUCGCAAGGCAUCGUCGCGGUUAAUAAGGAUAACCCUGGUAAUUCUGAGGCUAAUACAAGAACGUACAACCCGCCCGACCCGCAAGGGAAGGGGGGGGAAUGUGUGACCAGGCACGCAAAUUCGAAACUGGGAGUGGCCACACGUUCAGACCGCCAUACCAAACAGUCGCUCGCUUCGAAAGUCCUCGUGACGAGUAGCGGUGGGUUUCUGGGCGGCUCUCGCUGUGUGCUUCUGACCUAUCAACUAGAUGGCAGCGUAACGGACAUGCUAUGGUGACAACGGGUACAGAGGAUAAGGGUUCGAUCCUGGAGAGUGGGCCUGAGAGAUU